rnacentral:lncRNA from 1 species
UCCACCAAAACCAUCAAGAUCAAUGCUAAGAGAAUUCAAGAGAAUAUAAACACAAUGAUACAAACAAUUUAAAGGAAAUUUGUGUAUAUUCACAAACUAAAUGUUAGUACCAGCAAUUGCUUUUGUCUGUUCAGCGACAACUGGGACAACAGACAAAACAAUGGGCAUAUUGGUAGGUGCAGACCACAAAUGAAGCAACUCUCUCUCCAGGCGCAUAACGUGUCGAACAACAGAGACCACAAUAACUAUGGAUGAACGUGCAGAUCUCCUAUAGGCCAUCAUACAACCAUAGUUAUAGUCAUGGACGACGAAUCCAUAUAGCCCUUGUAAAAAACAUAUGGCGUGUAAAUCAGCUUGUUCAUAAGCAUUCAUGAACCCACAACAGGCUGAGCCCCAAAAAAACUCUCGCCGAGGCACUCGACGAGAACCAUCCCCGGGAGAGCUCAGGCUCUACCCCAGUAAGGACAGAGCUAGCCAUCUUCUGUGACCUCCCACAGGUACAAAAGGGAUGGCAAAGCGCAUUCGGCCACCACAACCUCCAAAAUAGGAAUAACAACCGAAACAAAUGCACACAUCCUGCUGACAUGUAAGAACGAAAUAUAUAAUAAAGUAGAUGACUCCCGGCCAUGUCCGGAACAUACACUGAAACAAUUAAGAGGCUAUAGAACAUGAAAGUACAAACAGAAAGUAGAGCAGCAAGACAGGCAGAGUCACAUAGCAGCAAACCUUGACAAGGCCGGACGAGCAGAAUGGAGACGCAGUAAUGAGCUAAACGGAGAUUGUGCACGAGAUCAGUAAAAGAUGGAACAACCUGCAAAAUAGCAAGGGAAACGAAUGGUCAGCAUAAGACAACGGCGUGCAACUAUAUAUGAUCUAUAAAAAACAAACCAACUGUAAUUCGAAAGACAAGAUCACAUGCCAUCGUCAAACAAUCAGUCCAUAAAGAUCAUUAGUACAUAAAAGAUCAGAACACAGGAGAAAGAACGAGUAUUGAGUGUUUCUUUGCGUGCGACCCUACACACGUGCGAAAGGGCUGAGAAAGCACACGUGCUGCAAUGGCAUUCCAAAAUAGGUGCAACGAUGGAAACAAAAGCGUUCAUCCAUUCAAACGCAAACAGCAAACAAGCAACAAAAUAAAAGCAAAACAAAAAGAUACAUCGCCUUUUAACAUCACUAUUUUACAAAAGUAUCAGCGUCAUCAUAUCCUCAUACAAGUAGCGGAAACUAACACAACGAACCACGCACAACUAAUGCGAGAUGAAAACACAUGGCACCAGACAAAUAUUUCAUCAAACAGCCCUCGCGCAUUUCAUCAAACACCUAACAGGCACGCACCCAUAGAGAAGUAGAGGAGGCGCGCACUAACCUGGACAGCAAGGACUGAAUGACCCACACUCCUACGAAGGAGCCAACGUGAAAACCAGGCAAACUUUGCAUGAAGGGAGCAAAUGGAAACAUACGGGAUCAGUAAAUUGCAGCAACAACGGCAGUAAAGAACCGGAGGAGCAGAAUAGAAAGAACCUCAACCAACAGCACCCAUGGAGGAACGGAUGGCCAUGGUGCAGGCGCUCGAAUGGGACGAAGCGAGGCGACGAACAGAGCGAGCAGUAGGGCGGAAAGGAGGACGAUAGCGAGUGGGCGAAGCGAGCGAGCAGCCUGGGCAUGCCAGACGCACGCGACGCGGUAGCAGCCCCACGAAGUG